UACGAAGGGGGCUAGCGUUGCUCGGAAUCACUGGGCGUAAAGGGCGCGUAGGCGGCCAGCACAAGUCAGUUGUGAAAUCUCCGAGCUUAACUCGGAAAGGUCAACUGAUACUGUGCGGCUAGAGUGCGGAAGGGGCAACUGGAAUUCUUGGUGUAGCGGUGAAAUGCGUAGAUAUCAAGAGGAACACCUGCGGCGAAGGCGGGUUGCUGGGCCGACACUGACGCUGAUGCGCGAAAGCCAGGGAGCGAACGGG
rnacentral:rRNA from 1 species